UUGCGUGAUAUCAUAUUUGUUCAAACUUUUAUUUAAAACUUUAUCUUACUUACGUUUACCCCACUUAGAACAUAGUCAUAAGAGUAAUAUAGUAGUAAUAAUCAUAAAAAGAUAGCAUAUUAUGGUAGAGAGUGGAGAAAGAGUCGCUGCAACAGCCAGUCUGACCAGCCGCAUUAAAUGUUUAACAUUACAAAAAAAAGUUCAAAGUUUAAAAACCCUCCUGGAGCCGACUUUAUGAACUAAGUUUUUUAUUUUAUUUAUUCUUAUUAUUAUCAAACAAAAUUAUAUGCAUUUAAACAUUUUGCUAAGUAAUUCGAACACACCAUCAGUCAGUACAAAUUUUAAUUAAUUAAUUUGAAAACUGAGAAGUAUUUUCCUGAUGUUUUAGUUUUAGGUGUGAUUACAGAGGUUAAUGUCCUUCCCAAAACAAAAAAUAUUUCUGCGUUACUAUUUAUCUUUUUUAAAUCGUUACAAUUUAAAAAUGAUUGAACAUAGUUAAUCUUCUUCUUUUUUCUCUCUAUUAUUUGUCACUCCACUCAUCCAUUUAAGCAUUCUCAUCUCUUCUACACAUAUUCUCUACUCUUCAUUCUUGUCAACCGCCCAACACUGAACCAUACACCAUAGCUGAUCUCUCUACAGUCUUAAUCGAACAUAGUUAAUAUGGAAAAAAACUUAAUAUUACAAAUUUGGGAGAUGAAAUUUUAAGUCUUGGUUAUUAUUUACCAGUAAGUAAAUUUAACGGAGUACUAUUUUAAAUAAGUUAAAUAAGAAAAAAAAUUAUAAGUAUCUAAAAGUUCAUAAUAACAUCUUGAUAGAGUAAUGAAACUCUAAAAGCUUUGAUGUAGGGGACACAGCUCUCAUCAUGAUUUUUAUUAUGGUUUUUUAUCUCCUCAUAUAGUAAAAUCUUUGGACCGCCAUUGUAUUUCACAAUUGUGGCUCGUGGUUGCUGGUGGUGAGGGUGCGACUUUAAAUAUAAUACCGCUAGUUAUAAAAAAAUUGUCAAAUUAAAUAUAAUAAAAUAAAACACAAUACACAUAUUAUUAUUUUAAAAGGUCGCAGUAGAAAAUAGAAAUGAAAAUAUUAAUAAUAGCGAUUAUAUUAUUAAGGCCAACGAUAACGACGAGCGUACACGUAGUGUAUUCUAAAAAUAAAUUACCAUAAUAGCAAUAUACUAAUAUUUUCUGUAUGGACGACGCUGUUGGUCGUCCAAACACUGCUCGUGUGUAUACAUGUGUACCGCAUAUACUGAGGGAAACAACUUUAAUGUUCGCACACGAUAAAUUAGGGGUGCGAUCGUCUCGUCAUCCAAGCCACGAGCCGCCACUGGUAUUUUAUAGUUUAAUAAUACUACAACAAACUAAAGUCGCGAUAAUGAUUACGCUUUGAUUGACUAUAUAUUGAUAAGGGGUGCCAUGUAAAACUGACACGGAAUAAAUAAUAAUGCACGAGAUCGAAUUAAUUAAACAGUUUCCAAUAGCGUAGUUGGUUGACGACGUGCCGAAAAAAUAAGCGAUAUUCGAACGAUGCAUGCCAUGUGGUGUCACGGAGAUGACUUUAACGUUUAUUCAAAGACUAUAUGUGGUCUGUAUAGGUGUUCAGUAAGUAAGGAAACAUGUUUCUAUUGUUCUCGUUGUUUUUAACAAUUGACCUGUUAACUGAACAAUCGGCAUAGCAAAUAUACUACUAACUUCAUAUAGUCAGUGAUAUAUUUGCGGCGGUUCGUUGUAGGCCGUGCGGCAUUUGCUGGACUUACAAAUUGUUAGUACGUGACCGUAUGACACGCGUUGUUUGUCACACAAGUUAUUUGAUUCCAAGUAGUAGGACGGCGGCUGACAAAGAUGGCGUGGGAUCGUGUCAAUAUAUUAUACAGAGUGAUUUAGGAUAAUAUACUUAAAGAUUUUCUUGGAAACUAUUGAACAUUUUUUAUUUUCGCAAAGGUAUAUUAUUUUAUUUAAAAAUUUCUAUAAUAUGUAGUUUAAUUAUUUUUCUUCCAUCUCUCAUGAAUAAAAUACCUAAACUUUAAUUUUCUUUAAUGGAAACCAUUAUUUUUAGUUUGACGAUAUCAUAGAGAUAAAUUGCUAACAAUUUUGUUCUUAUCAUUAUUUUUACCCGAUAAACCGUUCUUCUGUUAUUAGUUGUUUAAAAAUAGUGAGUUUUCGCCAAUUUUCUAUUGAUAAUUUGUUGUUUAGCAUACAGUAGUCGUUAAUUGUCAAAGGUACUAAUCAAUAACAUCCAUCGCCUAGGAAUGAUGUCUUGAAUAAUUCAUGUCUAUUAAUAGACGCAUUUUAUUGUAUUCAACGCAAGAUUUUACUAUUGUACAUUGUUGAGCGACCGGCGUGGAAAAUUUUCUUGUUAACGAUCAUAAAAAUAAUUUAUAGCCUUUGAAAGAUUAUUGUUGCCUCCAAUCUUGUGAAAACAAAAUAAUUCACCGUUAAUUAUUAACGGUGAAUUUGUAUUUGAAAUCCAAAUAAUAUAAAAAAAACCUGUUGAUUAGAUAACAAAAAAAUUUAGAACAAAAUCAUUUGAAAAUUUUUUUUCUACCAACAAAUAAAAAUAUAAGGAUUCUCCAAAUAAAAAAGAUUAAAGUUUAAGUUUUUUAUCCUUGUAGGGACGAAUUACUCUGUAUAUUAUUUAAUUAGUUAUAAUUAGAGUACACACACACAAAAAGAGCCAAAUAUAAUGCAAGUACGAGAAAAAAAAACAAUAAAAUAUGUACAUAAUAAAUUUUUCUUCUUAUAAAAAUUUUUUAUUAUUUUGCUAUAAAACUUAGUUAAUUAAUAAAGUAUAGUCUAUAAUGUUGACUCCGCGAUUUGUAUUGAUCGAUCGGCAACGAUUGUGCGUCAGUUUGCAGAUAUCGAAGUUCGUUCAAUACCGUUGAGCUAUACAGGUUUCCAUCUUAUACAAGAAUUAUGUUUCUGUUAACUAUUAUUUUUCCUCUUAAUUAUACUUUAGACUAAAUUUAAAAAUAAAGAAUAAAAGAAACAAUUAGCUACAAUUACAUAGUUUAUUUCUAAGUGAACAACUUUUGAUAAUUAAUUCUUAGCAUUAAUCAAUCAUAACAAAACUUUAGAUGAGACUAUUCUCGGGUCUAUCACAGCCAAAGUUCGACAACUGAUUACUGACGUCGGCGAGUGCUAGCUGAAAACCACUUUUUUCUAGAUGACCAUACUGGUCACCGUAAAAAAAGAAAAUCUUAAUCUUUUUAUUUGAGAGAACAUUAAAUAAUAUUCAAAAAGACUAGAUUAUAGACUUAAAAUCAUUAGCGUAAUUAUUGUGAAAGCUGUAGUCUCUAUAAUUAAAGAUAAUUUUUUGGGAAGAAGGGUGAAGAAAUGUGGUAAAGCUUUUUAUUAAUUAACUAUUAAUAUUAUGAAAUAAUUCCCCCCAUAGAUAGAUUUUUUAAGUUACGCUUAUGUUUAUGGCUUUCUAGGACUUUUUCAUAAUCUCAAUAAAAAAAAUAUGUCUUCUGUGUUGAAAUGUUUGUGGAUGUAUCCAUGUUUACAGUAAUGAAGUGACGUUUUGAACUUAUUGCAAAGUCCAUCUUCAGAGCGAUAGUUAUAGGCUCGUACUUAUAACUAUACUGUCAGCUUAGCUUGUUUACGGUUAGUUUUUCGUGCUGAUGAAUAAUAUGUAAACAAUUUCGAGAAGAAACAAGUGAUUUAAAAGUUUUAAGAAUUGAUAAGAUAGUUUUUUUGUGACAAUACAACUAACAAAAACCUUUAUUAUCCUAUAUCAGGUAUUACGCUAUUAUAACUGUAGUAAUAUGCUCAAUGCUUUGCAUGACGCAUCUUACAAUUAUUAAUGAAAAAUGUAUAAUCUGUAUUUUAAAUAACUUGUAAACAAUCAAAUAAUUUAUCUGUCAUAACAAAUAUGAUGUUCAACACAAUUUCUUAUUAUUUAUAUAUAUAUGUCAAUUUAUCAAUUGUUAAAUAUGUUAUCUGAAUAUAAUAAUCCUGUAAUGCAUAAUUAAUACAAUAAACUAAAAAGAUUACUAAAAGCGCUGACAACAAUAUCCCUGGAUUGGGGGUAAUAUCAUUUUACUAUAAAAAACACUGAAAUCCUUUCAGUCCGAGAGAGUCAGGGAAAGACUCCAGAGAGACGAAAAAAAAGAAGAAGUGACAGCGACCAAAAGAGUUCGU